rfam:Thermovirga lienii DSM 17291, complete genome.
AAGUUGUAAUUAGAUAGACCGCAGACAGCGGGCGCACUAAAGUGCUUAAUUUCCCGCCGAGGUCAGGAGUUUAAUGAAUAAAAACAUGAUUGGUUUUUAUUGUCUCCUGUACCUUGGCGUGCAGGAGACAAUUUUUUAAGAAGGA